AGGCAAUAACAGGUCUGUGAUGCCCUUAGAUGUUCUGGGCCGCACGCGCGCUACACUGAUCAAGUCAACGAGUUUACAACCUUGGCCGGAAGGUCUGGGUAAUCUUUUGAAACUUGAUCGUGCUGGGGAUAGUCCAUUGCAAUUAUUGGACUUCAACGAGGAAUUCCUAGUAAGCGUGAGUCAUCAGCUCGCGUUGAUUACGUCCCUGCCCUUUGUACACACCGCCCGUCGCUACUACCGAUUGAAUGGCUUAGUGAGGCUUUCGGAUUGGACUUUGGCAGCUGGCAACAGCAGCUAGGACUGAAA
rnacentral:rRNA from 1 species